AUUGAACGCUGGCGGCAUGCCUUACACAUGCGAGUCGAACGGUAACAGGUCUUCGGAUGCUGACGAGUGGCGAACGGGUGAGUAAUACAUCGGAACGUGCCUAGUAGUGGGGGAUAACUACUCGAAAGAGUGGCUAAUACCGCAUGAGAUCUACGGAUGAAAGCAGGGGAUCGCAAGACCUUGUGCUACCAGAACGGCCGAUGGCGGAUUAGGUAGUUGGUGGGACAAAAGCUUACCAAGCCGACGAUCUGUAGCUGGUCUGAGAGGACGAUCAGCCACACUGGGACUGAGACACGGCCCAGACUCCUACGGGAGGCAGCAGUGGGGAAUUUUGGACAAUGGGCGAAAGCCUGAUCCAGCAAUGCCGCGUGCAGGAUGAAGGCCUUCGGGUUGUAAACUGCUUUUGUACGGAACGAAAAGCCCCGGGUUAAUACCCUGGGGUCAUGACGGUACCGUAAGAAUAAGCACCGGCUAACUACGUGCCAGCCGCCGCGGUAA
rnacentral:rRNA from 1 species